CCAUAGGGGGACUCACAACGAUUUGCGGCUCGUGGCCGUUGGAUCUUCCUUAGAACCGAUCUCGGCCGUUCAUCUUUGUUACUAUGUGGUAUAAAAGAAGCAGCCCAAACGGUGGAAACCCUAGCCGCCGGCCCGCCAAUCCCUGGUGUUCUCGUCCUCCCCAAUCCUCUCCUGAGCUCUUCCGCCCCCAAUCGCUCGCCUCUCUCCCCUCAGUACGAGCUCCGCGUUGUCCCCGUCGUCUUCGGCAAAGGAGGCCAGGCUGCAGACCUCCGGCUCGUGCUGCUCCGCGCGAGUAGCAGCAGCGCGGGGAGAGGCCCAGCCACAGGCACACCCCGGCGGCGGCGUUGCAGCUCCCAAACCCUAGAUCGACCGGCCUUCCAUGGUGCUUUGCUGGCCGUGACGAGCUCGAGAUGGAGCGUAGGGAUGUCAUUCAUGUCGUUGUUCUCUAGGUGGCCGGUUCUUCCUGCGCCUCUGCUCCUCCUCUGUUUCGUCCUUCUCGCGCCGUUUGCUGCAAGUUCAUCUCUGUGCAAGAGGAUGAAGGCCCCAUCCAUGGAGCGACCACGAUGGGUAGCAUCACGGAGGUCUGCCUUCCUCCGGGUAUCUCUCUCAGGAUCCCCUUGUGGCAACUCGGGAAGAAGGAGAACAAUGGUGUCUCCAUGUAUAACAUGCCGCCGGUUUGAGUUGGUGGAGGUUUGGGAAGAGUCCAGUUUCCUGCUCCUCUGCCACUUCCUCCACCAGAUCAGCACGACAAGAAUGCUUUUCUACAGCUUGCAGAAAUUCUUAAUCAGGGAUGAUUGGUGAAUAAAUGAAAUUGUCAGUAUUUUCUGAAUAGCUCAAGAAAGGGGAAGAGAAGGAGAAUAUGGCAUGGCAGAGAUUUGGUGGAGAUAACUGUAAGUGCAGCUACCUAUGUAAUAUCUUUUUUCUUUUGGCAGGGCAGAGAUUUGGUGUGUUAGGAAUUGUGGGAAGCCAUGAUGGGUGCUGGCCACAAUUUGGGUUUAUUUGAAAUUUUGGAUGCACACGCAGGUAACUAUUUUUUUGUAAGAUGAUUGUGAAAAUGUGAAGAUAUAUGGAUUGUAGUGGUGUAGUUGCAAUAGACAGAAUCUGCAGAUAAGUACUGCCUCCGUUCCAUAAUUCUUGUCUUGGUUUUAGUUCGAGAAUUAUCACGAUAGGAAUUAUUGAACAGAGCGAGUAAUACUUUUAGCAGGGGCAAUCUAAUUAAGUUGGUCAAAUGUAUAGUAUCUAACUGAAUAUUUGAAGCAUUGCUGAGCACUAAUUGAUAUCAAUAUGAAGUGCAUCACUGAAACAGAACAGUGCGCAUACCAUCAUGUAGAAAAUAUAAUUGUACGUAUCUUCAGAUGAAGGCAGUUUUAGAAAAUAUUUUAGGGAACACCUAUUUCCUUUUUGUUUUAUCUGAAGCAAACCUCUAAAUUUUCCUUACACAUGAAAUGAUUUACUUUGACUACACGAGAUUGAGUAUUUAGUGUGUUUGAUUUGACGUCAACAUCUUAAAAUUAACUCACACUGUUUUUAUAGAAGGAAUUGCAAUUACAGUAAUAAUGGCGUGCACCUUGACUCGUAUUUGUCGCAUGAAACAGUGUCUUCAGUGAUACCUGUCUCCGAUGACCACACCACAUUGUGGUUUGUCUGUUGUUCACCUUCUCGGUCUGCUGUUGCUAGGGAUUGGUUGGCUUAAUGGCUCUCUUUUAUUUUUGGCUGUUGCUAGGGAUUGGGUGGCUUAAUGAAUUGUGUUGAUGCUCCUGCGCAUCUUAUGUGGAUGUUGCAUCUCAUGUUCGUUGUAUGUGAAUGCCUUUUGAGUUGCUAAGUUGUGUAAUUAAAUCUACUCUACUGUACCUUGCCCAUGAAACUGACUAUUGCAAGCUCCAAUUAUGGAUGGUGCAUACGCCGUUCACCGUGCUCACCAUAUGUGAGAAUGUCUGGUCGUUUGUUAAGUUAUGUAAAUAGAAGAUCUAGCCAACAGGAAACAUACUACUUUAAGUUAAUGAUUAUUGUCUCUAUUUUGUUUCCUGUGCUUAUUUGUCAUGAAGCAAUUAUCUACUUUCCUCUUGUGUGGUUAGUUUCUAGGUUUAUUAUAAAAUUUGUACCUCCGCAAGUAGCUUCAUCUUGGCUUACUCUAGAAAUUUCCUUGACGCUAUUAUAUAUCAGUCUACUACUGUUCAGCAGACUUGCCUCCUUUUGAGUUGUAAAUUAGUCUCUAGGAUUUCCUCUCUGUCUAUAUAUAUCCCCUACAAAUAUACCAUGUCAGACUGUUAGCUGCUACCAUGUUUCAUAUGAUCACUAUUCUCUGUAUAUUAGAUAAAGAAACCUACCAUGUCUCACAUGUGUGCUAUUUCGUCGACACUCCUCAUUCCGUCUAUUCAAAAUGGGUACCCAUACGUAUAGCAGGAAAGGAGGAGAAUACCUCAGCACCAUAGGUUUUUUUUUUCUAAUAGAUACGUGGUUAUUAUAGGAUUAUACAAAAUGGUUAUUAUAGGAGAAUAACUCAGUGCGAAAAUUUUAUCAUCCGGUAGUGCUAAGUAUACUAGAUUAACCAUCCUCUUUGGAGAUGCUUGUGUUGUUGUCUUAUGGAGAAAAUAGCUUAUCUUAUUAUUUAUAAGCAAGCGUGCUGGAUAGCUUAGUUGAAGAACAAUUCCUGAGACUAAAACAAAAGACUUCUAGGGCUAUACCACAUGAAGAGCAGGACAAGAACAGCUCUUAUUUCUUCUUUUCUUUUGCCUGCUCGAAAUGACUAAUUUUUCCCUCAUAUGUAGAUGCAAAACAUUCUACAAAGUCCAUAGAUACUCGGUUUUGAGAAACUUAAAUUUGGUUAUUACUUCUCUAUUUUCCCUAUAAGAAUAUGUUCUCUCUCACACACAUCAAAUAGCACAUACACAAGCAAGCCAAGCAUACAUCAAUUUGCUUCAGAUUUUUGGUACUUUCAACUGCAAAGUAUUACCUGACUGGUUGGGGAUUUGGGGACGUGUCAAACUGGUUGGCGAUGGACUUUGGUCUUCUAUGCAAUUUCUCAGUGGUGAUGACGGUACAAAUGCUCCUGGUAUUCCAGGUGUCCAACCUGACCUCGCGCUAAUUGCCACUUUCCGCUGAUUGAUGUAUUGAUGUCCAUGUACCUCAAAGGAAUUGUCUGCAUGUUGUCCAAGGGUACCAAUUUAAGCCCUGCAGUAGUCUGCGAGCGGGUAGGUUCAAAUUUUGAAUCAAGUUGACUUUCAUCUUUAGAGGAGACUAUACAGAUCCUUUUUCUAUGUUACUCCAUGUUAAGAAUGGAAUCAAACUAAACUAGCUUCAUACAGUACUUCAGUAGAUGUUAACUCAUAAAAAAGAAGGAACCUAUAUUACCCAUGUUAGUCUGUAGCUAUUGUUGAAACAGACAAUCAAAUGAGAUAGUGCUACUAAUGUUGCCUCUAUUUUAUUCAUUCGCUGAUAUACAGCAGGUUUUUUUUUAGUUUCAGGUUUCUGUUCGAAAUAAGUAUCCUAUUUUGCUCUCCUGUUUUCAAGUCGUGUCCAUGGUUGGGUUGUUUAUUUCACUGACGUGUGGCCAAAGUGCAAAUUCCUUUGGUUACGGAGGAUUUUGUCAAACGAAUACUAAGCUCCAAGAAUUAAUUGCUAAAACCAAAGUUAUAUAUAGCUCUGUAUAAAGUUCAAACUUACCUCUGUGCAUGUUCGAAUUUUCUUUUAUAAUAAGUUUUUAGAAGUGAUAUUAUAAAAUAGAGCCAAAAUUAUAUUUAUAUUUCUCUGCAUCUGAUGCAAAUAUUAGACAAAUUGGAAGCUACUCUAUGGAAUAAUAAAUGGGAGAACUCUAUACCAAGGAAAAAGUCUGGGUAACCUUGGAAUCAAAGAAAGAUGGUAGGAGACUUCGUACACUAUCCUCUCAUGUCUUUCUUUCGUAGCAUUUGGUGAUGCUGACAAGGAACAAUCACUCAGCUAGGUUUCCUUACAAUUUAGUCCUAAUAUAGAAUAACUACGAAUGGUAGAAUUCUAUUCCCGCUUGAUAUUUUCCUGACAUCUAUAUAGUAUUGUAGAACCAUUUUACGUUAUGAAACUUUUGUAUUGAUAUUUUAAAUUAUUAUUCUAAUGUGCUAAGAAAUAUUAGCACAUUCUAAGCUAAUGCUUUCUUUAUUUUUUGUUUCCUAAACCAAAAUAGAAGGCGAGUAUGUGCCCUUUCUGUUUCAAUGGCAUACUGAGCCUCUAAAGCGAGUUUCUGCUCUUUCUGUUCAUGCUUUAUAGCUUUGCAUUUCUUAUUUUUUGUUCAUGCUUUAUAGCUUUGUAGUCUGUUGUCAAUCAGGGCCUAAUUGAUGCAUCCCUGACAUUUGAUUUGAUUUGUCCUGUUUUUCUCUAUAUUUAGGUUCUAGACUAGCUAGCUAGCUUGCUAGAGUUGAACCUGCCUCUCAUCAAUUGGCAAAGAUUCACUCUUGUUUCUUAUCCUUUCAUAAAUCAGAAGGCCAUAUCAUUUUGGAACUGUUUGAGUAUUACUGAAUGGUGUUCUAAAUAUUCCUUCUUCAUUGGCCACUGGAUUAUCUAUAUCUUGGACUGCAGAUAAUGCUCUUUUCUUUGCUAUUAAAUUUGUUGCUAUUGUUACUAACACCAUUAGUCAAAAUUUAUGGGAUCUGUUAUGUCGCCAUGAUAAAUAUUAAAACAGAUACCCCUUUCCUAAUCAGUUCAUCAGCUUAUUUAUUAUUUAUUUACUGAAAAGUUAGACUAAGCUUUGAUGUGUUUAUUUGCUUUGUUCCCAAUGAGGUCAGCAAAUUUGGCUGUUUCACUGAAAACUGAUCAACUGUUGGAACUUUUUGUUGCUGUGUCACAAAUUGCAUUGACUGAGAUUUUUUGAUAUUCAGACAAUUGAGUGUCAAUACUAAUAUUCAGGAGAAACUGUGCAUUACAAUUUUUUUAAUCUGAUUUUUUAACCUACUGAUUAUGUAAUAUCUUUUUGCCAUAAUCUAUACACAGAGCUAUACUCACUAGAUCUGAUUUUUUUUGUGUUAGUUUCUUAUGAUAGCAUGAUUGUGCUUAUGCAAUUAGAAGAAUGGCUUAUACAGUAAUCAGAGUAUGUCUUGCAUCAUGGUGAGGUGGUCUUCUAUACUGAUUUUUCACCAACUUAAUUUUUUAAGUCAUAGCAUAAGCAUCUCCGAUGACGAGCAUGUAUGCUGAAAUAUGCAGAGACAUCAUUUGUUUUUAACCUCUUUUCUUGUAUGUAAUAUGAAGUAGUGAAUAGUGCAUUUCCUGGAGAUUUGCGAUCUUUUUAACCUCUUUUAUUGUAUCUGAUAUAAUCAUUUUAAUUUCUUACUCUGAACUAUAAUAGGUUUAUUGACAAUAUCAAAGGUACUAAGCUCUACUGUGUAAAUCAGAUUGCACUGUUGUGUAGGAUCCCCUGAAUCAGUCCGGCAACCUGGGAAGAUAUUGACAGAAUACGAUGUGCUAGAUCUUCCACAAUAAAGAGAUAAUGUAUAUCACUAAAACAGUCUUGACUUGUGCUUGCUGUGACUUUGCCGUUCAUAGAAGUUGCACGGACUAAGGUGUUUGAAGCAUCAACUUCUGUGUUUAGAGAAGAGGAACAAAAAGGUGUAUUGAGCUGUUUUUUUUGCAGGCCCAAAUCAGCAUGGACUGCUAUAUAUAUUUGGAUAUCAUCUAUGUACAUUAGAAGGAAAAACACUAGAAGGAAUUCAGAUAUCAGCUAUGUACAUUAGAAGGCAGAAUUCUAGAAGGAAUUAAUCACAGCUAAAUCUCCAUGUGCCCAACCGUGGAGGUGGUGAGGAAGAUCUUGCAGCGAAGUAAGACCUCCAUGUGCAGCUAUGCCAUCACCGUUCAGGGCGCCACUGCCGCCGACCUCAGUGUAAGAAGAAGUCCACCUACAGACCAUAUGCUAGCUGAUUAUUGUAUCAUUAUUAGUGGGUACUUUCAGGUCUCUAACAGAUGAAGUUCAGGUUUUUGCUCUCGGCUAAAUAUACAGAAUGAAGCUGGAGUCUUAGGCAAUCUUCAACUCAGUUUUUCAGCAGUGAAUUUCACAGUUUUUAGCCAAUGUAAUAAAGGACUUAAAGUAAUCAUAUCCUGUAUUGAGCAUUGACACCGAAUGAACAAUACAAUAUAGUGAUCGCAGAGCUAGAAUUUCUGUUUAUUGCCCGAUGUUGUUAAAUUAGAGGCAUUGUUUGAUGGAGUAGUGUUAACCCCAAGGUCUUCAUGGAACAUCUAUGUCAGUGUUUUAUUUAUGCUAUAUGUGAUUGCUUUUAGGUUGAAAGGCUUGAUAUUCAGUCCAGAAUGUUUUUCCUUGGUUCAAGAACUAUUGUGUGUGACAUUUAUGUACAUGUUUGCCAUGGAUUUGUUGUUGGCCACAUUGCCGCGUUA